CGGGAAGAGCUCAAAUUUGAAAUCUGGCGGUCUACGGCCGUCCGAGUUGUAGUCUAGAGAAGCGUCUUCCGUGCCGGACCGUGUACAAGUCCCUUGGAAUGGGGCGUCAUAGAGGGUGAGAAUCCCGUCUCUGACACGGACUGCCGGCGCUCUGUGAUGCGCUCUC
rnacentral:rRNA from 1 species